UACGGAGGGAGCUAGCGUUGUUCGGAAUUACUGGGCGUAAAGCGCACGUAGGCGGCUUUGUAAGUUAGAGGUGAAAGCCCGGGGCUCAACUCCGGAACUGCCUUUAAGACUGCAUCGCUUGAAUCCAGGAGAGGUGAGUGGAAUUCCGAGUGUAGAGGUGAAAUUCGUAGAUAUUCGGAAGAACACCGGUGGCGAAGGCGGCCCGCUGGGCAGGAAGCCCCCUCACGGGGGCGGCUGACACUGAGGCGCGACAGCGUGGGAGCAAACAGG
rnacentral:rRNA from 1 species